GACGAACGCUGGCGGCGUGCUUAACACAUGCAAGUCGAACGGAAAGGCCCUGCUUUUGUGGGGUGCUCGAGUGGCGAACGGGUGAGUAACACGUGAGUAACCUGCCCUUGACUUUGGGAUAACUUCAGGAAACUGGGGCUAAUACCGGAUAGGAGCUCCUGCUGCAUGGUGGGGGUUGGAAAGUUUCGGCGGUUGGGGAUGGACUCGCGGCUUAUCAGCUUGUUGGUGGGGUAGUGGCUUACCAAGGCUUUGACGGGUAGCCGGCCUGAGAGGGUGACCGGCCACAUUGGGACUGAGAUACGGCCCAGACUCCUACGGGAGGCAGCAGUGGGGAAUAUUGCACAAUGGGCGGAAGCCUGAUGCAGCAACGCCGCGUGCGGGAUGACGGCCUUCGGGUUGUAAACCGCUUUCGCCUGUGACGAAGCGUGAGUGACGGUAAUGGGUAAAGAAGCACCGGCUAACUACGUGCCAGCAGCCGCGGUGAUACGUAGGGCGCGAGCGUUGUCCGGAUUUAUUGGGCGUAAAGGGCUCGUAGGUGGUUGAUCGCGUCGGAAGUGUAAUCUUGGGGCUUAACCCUGAGCGUGCUUUCGAUACGGGUUGACUUGAGGAAGGUAGGGGAGAAUGGAAUUCCUGGUGGAGCGGUGGAAUGCGCAGAUAUCAGGAGGAACACCAGUGGCGAAGGCGGUUCUCUGGGCCUUUCCUGACGCUGAGGAGCGAAAGCGUGGGGAGCGAACAGGCUUAGAUACCCUGGUAGUCCACGCUGUAAACGGUGGGUACUAGGUGUGGGGUCCAUUCCACGGGUUCCGUGCCGUAGCUAACGCUUUAAGUACCCCGCCUGGGGAGUACGGCCGCAAGGCUAAAACUCAAAGGAAUUGACGGGGCCCCGCACAAGCGGCGGAGCAUGCGGAUUAAUUCGAUGCAACGCGUAGAACCUUACCUGGGUUUGACAUGGAUCGGGAGCGCUCAGAGAUGGGUGUGCCUCUUUUGGGGUCGGUUCACAGGUGGUGCAUGGCUGUCGUCAGCUCGUGUCGUGAGAUGUUGGGUUAAGUCCCGCAACGAGCGCAACCCUUGUUCACUGUUGCCAGCACGUUAUGGUGGGGACUCAGUGGAGACCGCCGGGGUCAACUCGGAGGAAGGUGGGGAUGACGUCAAGUCAUCAUGCCCCUUAUGUCCAGGGCUUCACGCAUGCUACAAUGGCUGGUACAGAGAGUGGCGAGCCUGUGAGGGUGAGCGAAUCUCGGAAAGCCGGUCUCAGUUCGGAUUGGGGUCUGCAACUCGACCUCAUGAAGUCGGAGUCGCUAGUAAUCGCAGAUCAGCAACGCUGCGGUGAAUACGUUCCCGGGGCU
rnacentral:rRNA from 1 species